UUGGAUUGCCUGGUAAAUUGUAAAAAACCUUUGUUUAUUACUGGAUGAAUUGGCAGGGAUUACCGUUGAAGUUACUGUUGACGUGCAAAUGAAGUGGUAAAUACCAUUCAUUCACAUGUCUAAAUUCGCACAAAUUAAGAAGCGGAUGAUUUUACUCGCGCUUGGUGUGAGAUUAUAGUGUCAGUUUAAUAGCUGGUUAUUGACUCAGAUUGCUUAAAUUUGAUUCCACAUUUGUGGUUGGGCAUCAAGUCUUGAGCACUGUUGGGAACUGGGACUAAAAUUCUGAUUCUCCCCCAACGGUUGAAUUUUUUCAAUUUUGAUUCAAAAUCUAUAGAUAUCAUAUGCUGUAUAAUAUUGAGCUCUUGAUGAGACAAAAACAGAAAAUAUAAAGUUUGUCCGUCAGUCUAAGUAAAGUCUCAAGUCUCUGAGGAUCAAGUCUGAGUCAAGUCUGAGUUCGCAUUGGUUUGUGACUUGAGUCCAAAUUUCUGUGUGGACACAAAACCAGUACUUGUCACUAAUGUCUGAUUGGUCUCCACACUCACGCUCCUUUUACUCUGGCAGUGCAAAUGACGCAAAUUGGGCGGGGACUGAAAAUGUCUUAACUUGAGUGAGUAUUCGCAUCACGAUAACUACAGUAAGCAGCACAAAGGUUGCCGGGUGAUGGAUAAAUACAGACGGUUGUUAACCGGUACCUAAAAUGGAUCAUGCCAGUGUGUGGGUGCCCCAAAUCACGUUACUUUUCUUUUAAUUACUGAAACCAAAAUAAAAAGGAGCUCGCCUAGAGGCAAGUGAGUGAAGGGAAUUAAAUUGGUAAAUUGUAAAAAGCCUUUGUCUAUCACUUGAUCCCGCCAGUUGAAUUGGCAGGGAUACCAUUAAAAUUAUCGUUGACGUAGGGGUAUCGAUAAUUUUAAAGGUUCUUAAUACCAUAUGAGUACUUUGUAACAAUUGGAGUAAAAGCACAACAGUUUUGAUGUGCUGCUCUGUGAGAUGAGAGGCGGCCAGGAGCCUGUAGCUGCAGCCUUACCUGACUCAUAGAGUGGGAGACUACAGGACACUGAUCUGUUGUGUGUUGACUUUGUUGCUUUAUAAGUUUGUCUGGAAGCAGUCACCAAACUACUGCCAACACAGAUAUUGAUGGGAAUAUUAUAUUCCACCAUGAUCAUAAAAGAUAUUCUGUGUAGAUUUUUUUGUUUGUUUUUUGAGGCCCUUCAUGCUGCCGGAUUUUUAUGUUGACUUUAGUACCAGUAUGAAAGUGUUUAAAAGCUAAACAUAUUUGGUUUACCAGAGUAUUUCCAUGGGUUUGAGACGCAUCGACAAAAUUCCCUGGAGAAUACCGGGAUGUCUGCUCCCUGCAAUCAGAUCUACUUGAGAAUACAUUAUCACAUCUUUUAAGUUUCACAGUAGAAGACAAUUACUUGAGAACAGACGAGUGAGUCAAAGAGUGACUGAGACAAAGAGAGACAUCUGUUUGUUCUGAGCGGCUCACCAUAAGAAACACCCAAACGUCACGCUAAUUAUUGUGUCAGGACUGUCACUCCACACCUGCCUCUCUGUUUGAAUCAAGUAUUCAAAGAGUCCGACACUCCCUCUGUCUGAGCUUUACCUCCGCUAACAAACACAGAGCUCCCUCAGCUGUCACAUUCACUGCUGCCUGUUUGUCUUCCUCUGCACACUCGACUCUAAUGAAAAAUGUAAGAACUAAAGAGUGUAUUUACCAAAGUCCUUCUGCAGAAACUAUCAGCAGAGUGUACUUCUGUCUGCUCAUUGAUACAGAAAUGGAAAAGCACUGGAAAAACCAAGGACGCUUAGACUCAUAUUUUCAUCACUUGGUGUUUUAAACUACUCAUAAAAUAACCACCUGAGUCUGUAUGUGUUCUGACUUCAAAUUACUGAAGCAAUCCAAGUUUUUUUCAGUGCAAAAGUGUCUCCCUCAUCUGUAUGGAUCCCGUCUGAAAUAUAAUAGAAUACAGAAGCAGCUGUUACAUCACAGCAGCGCUUUUUAAUUUGUGUCAGCUGACUGCAGGCCAGUCAACACUGGCGAAGGCGUCCUCGGGUCGGCAUGUUUUGCUUUGCAUUGCUAAUAUGAACUUCUAACCUAGAGCAAAACUGGAAAAAAAGAAAAAAAAAAGGCACAGACCCCAUUAAAAAACAGGAAUUUACCACCAAGACACUGCAAAACCUCCAAUUUCUCAUGGUGUUUGUCUAAUUUCUUGUCAAAUAUAUUGUUACAAUACAAGUCACAUCCAUCUGAAAAGUCCAGAAUUGGCCUAAAUUGGUUGUAAUGAGUAUAAAUAGCUGCCAGUGCAGCGAGAGAAAUUACACUUACAGAGUUCUAUAAAAUAUAAAAUUACAUCUCAUUUCAUUAAAUUAUUCUCUCAUUCACCAAUAACAGUUGGAGUCUGUCAGUGACAUAAACAAGAACUGCUGGUGAUGGUAAUCUAUUGCUGGGGACGUAACCCUCAGAAAUAAAUGUUUAUGCUUUUAAGGAUGUGGACAAAAUACACAACACCGCUCUUAUCCACCCAUAGUUUAAGGGUGUAAAUUUUUUGUAGCAAAAGAAAGUGUGAUAAAAGACUGAUAAGUGUUCACAAAUCAGUUUUGAUUAAACAACUUGAUAGAUAGAUAGAUAGAUAGAUAGAUAGAUAGAUAGAUAGAUAGAUAGAUAGAUAGAUAGAUAGAUAGAUA